rnacentral:rRNA from 1 species
AUUGAACGCUGGCGGCAGGCCUAACACAUGCAAGUCGAACGAGUGGCGGACGGGUGAGUAAUGUCUGGGAAACUGCCUGAUGGAGGGGGAUAACUACUGGAACCGGUAGCUAAUACCGCAUACCAUCAGAUGUGCCCAGAUGGGAUUAGCUAGUAGGUGGGGUAAUGGCUCACCUCGGCGACGAUCCCUAGCUGGUCUGAGAGGAUGACCAACAACACUGGAACUGAGACACGGUCCAGCCUCCUACGGGACGCAGCAGUGGGGAAUAUUGCACAAUGGGCGCAAGCCGGAUGCAGCCAGGCGGCGUGUGUGAAGAAGGCCUUCGGGUUGUAAAGCACGUUCAGCGAGGAGGCGUUACUCGCAGAAGAAGCACCGGCUAACUCCGUGCCAGCAGCCGCGGUAAUAC